AACUCCUAAAAUUUGGGAAAGAUUAUCCAAAUGAAGGACAGUGAUAAGAGGCUCAUUGAAGAUGCACUUGCAAAUCCAAGCAACACAAAGAAAAAGUUUGGAGCCCCACACAAACACAGGUAUUUUUUUGGUGUCUUAACAAAUAUUUUGGACCCUUAUACCAGUUACGAUAGCAAAUAUUUAUGAUUAUCAAUUUAUACAUGAUUUCAUUCAAGUGAAUAGAUAGAGGGGUGUGAUUGUCGAAACCUGACUUCUUGAUUUCUUGUGUAAUUGAAUACCCCAUUAUAUUUAUGAUUGAUGCCUAGGAUAUGGUCAUUUAUUGCACAAAUAUUAUUGCUUAUGAUUUUCACUUAGAAUAAUGAAAUUCCUAAGUUGUAUACGAACACACAACGAAGUAGAGUGUUAAGCUGUUAUAAUGAGUCUCAUAUAUUAUGUUGUAGUAAUUAGUUUAAGAAGUAAUUAUUUUCAGUCAUGUGCAAUAAAAGUCCAAUAAAUAAAUAAUUUUCAUGAAAUUUUGAUCACUGUAUUACGUUUUUCUCAUGGGAUUUUAUUAUUGAAUUGUAUGGAUUUAUUGUUUUGCUUUGGAUCAAUGCUUUAUGAUGCACAUGUUUUCAUAUAUGAACGAGGGGUGAAUAGAGUAUUUCAGUCAAAUGCAUAAUAUUUUCAAUACGGAUGAAGUACAUUCGGAUACAACACCAAACAACACAUAUACAUGCCUCAAUUUGUGAUAUGUCAAUGAUGGAAAUAUAAUCAUUCAAAUUUGGAAUUUGUUUUGAAAUAUCAGAACAUAGAAUGUGUGAAUCAUUGCACCAAUUUAUAUGCACAUCAAUCUCCUUUGUAGGGUUCAAUCUAUACUCCGUUGGUAUAUUUGGCAAGAUCUCUACCACUCUUACAUGUAAUGCAUAGACCGUCAUGCAUGCAUCUCUACGCUUAAGCUCCAAAUAGAAAUGUAGAGAGCCGUAAUUUUUUAUUCGGAUAGGGGACAUAUCUACAUCAGCAAUGUACUCAAUCUUCGAGAUUAUUAUAUUUGGAAAUAUUAUAUUUUAAGAAAUAGGUAGAUUCGAGAUUAUUUUACAUUUAAUCAAGUAUUUUUGGUUUUGUAAACGUAACAUAGUAAAUGAUGAAAUAAUUUUCAGUAAUGAUACAAUUACCAAAAUUUCCCAGGACUAAAUUUUUGCUACAAACUGGAAGUCCAAUUUACAUUUUGGGUGGGCUUUUGAAGUUCGGUCACAGUCCAGAAAGGCCAACUUGAAAAAGAUGAUUAUUGCUUGUCACUUUGUUUGCUGAAAAUGGUAAGGAGCACCAAAUAAAUAUGGGAAAAGCUCAUAUGUCAUCAUCUGGGUGCAUGAACAGGAUAGGCAUGAAAGAUAAGUGCAGUCAAUGGAGAUUAUAAUUAGGCUUUUGUGGUGCUUAAGAAGUUUCUUGAUCUUUAAUUAUCAACAAUCUUGACUUUACCAACAUUAUUGCCACUUGCCGAAUGCACCAAUAAUUGGCCAAACAUGCUCUUUUACCUUAAUUCAAUUCUAAGCACUCAAAAUGUUAAACUUAUUAUUAAGGGAAUAAUUUUAAUUAUGGAAACUUGGUGUAAGCAGUGUCAGCAUUAUUGACUGUUGAGAAUCUUUAAAAAUCAACUGUAUAAAUUCUUUCUCGAUCACUGGGCAAUUUGCAAAACGAAAGUGGUCAGUAAUUUGCAACCUCAUAUUAUUAUGAGAGUUGUCUCUUCUAAACAUUUUCGAACCAAAUUGCUCAUCCAUGAAUAUAUUGUGUUCGUGAGAUAAAAAUGCUUUUCCAUUCGGUUAUUUGGAUGACUAAAAUGUGGGCUUCAAAUCAUGAGCCUAGAGCUUGUAUAGCAAGUACUGUUGUUAAGACAUAUUUAGCCCUUGUUUGGUGGGAAUUAAAAUUUGAAUUUUAGUAGAUUUUGAUAAAAGUUGAUGAAAUGUAUAGUUGAAAGUUAUGGGUCUCAUGAAAUGUGUGGUUAAAAUUAACUGCUAACUUUAACUUAGAUUAAAAUCUAGAUUUUAAUUUUCACCAAACAGUGGCCUAAUUAAUUGUAGCAAUUGGAGAGAACAGAUUCAAUUUGCAUGCUCUCACAAUAAUGUAGUCUUUUUUUCUUUUUUCUUUCUUUUUUAUCCACUUGAAAUUGUAUCCACAACGAACAUGAAAGCAUACCAUGAUUUGUGCCUUUGCUUUGUUAGGCAUUGCAUGAAGAAACUGUCAAGUGGUGGAGCUUAAUUAUUGUUGCUACGCAGAGUCCAUUAUUAAGGUUUAAAAUAUCAACGUAAUAAAUUACUAUAAGGUGAAAAAUGACAUAAUCUCACAUUAAGGUGAACUUUCAUUAAUUAUUUUUAUGUACAUAUUUUCUUUUGGCCAUUUUAUUACUCUCAACAUUAUAGAGUUAAGAGUUUCUAAUUUCCAACACAAGCCAAAUUCUUUGCAAGAAAUUCGUGAACAAGCAUGCAAAACACUCCAAAAUCCUAUUUUAUGCACAUUUUGUUUAUUCUUGUUGGUAAUCACUUUUGAAGAAAAUGCCACUUCAGAUAGAGAUGCUGAUGAUCGAUGAAUUAGGGAUAAUUCCACAAAUUGUCAUCUUGUAUAUUUUCAUCAGCAGGUGUGUCUUCACCAGCAAGGUCAUGGCGCGGGGGGCUAAUAAGCAUUCCUUCAGCCAUGUUCUUAAGAACAUUAGGCAUAUCAAAGAUCAAAUCCUCGUCGAUGAACUCAUUUAUGUCCAAAUUUUCAGGUGGCAGCGCUGGAUUUUCCACACUCCCAGUAGCCUCGGCCGUCGCAGCAGUUGCGGUGGCUGCACUAGCAGUAAGAUCAUAGCGCGGAGGG
rnacentral:lncRNA from 1 species